GUAGGUGAACCUGCGGAAGGAUCAUUAUUGAAUAAACCUGAUGGGCUGUCGCUGGCUCCUUACAGGAGCAUUGUGCACGCCUGUCAUCUUUAUCUAUCCCACCUGUGCACCAUUUGUAGUCUUGGAGUAACGAGCGUUGAAGACCUCUCGAGAGGCUGAGUCUCUUGGAAAUGGGGGACUGCUGCAUGAGAGUGUGGCUGACCCCCCAAUCCUCACGCGAGUUCUUCAGGUCUAUGUCCUUUCAUACAUACACCACAUAAACAUGUUUCUGAAUGUAUCAUUUGGGCCUCAGUGCCUAUAAAACAUAAUACAACUUUCAGCAACGGAUCUCUUGGCUCUC
rnacentral:misc_RNA from 1 species